rnacentral:rRNA from 1 species
UACGAAGGGGGCUAGCGUUGUUCGGAAUUACUGGGCGUAAAGCGUACGUAGGCGGAUUGUUAAGUGAGGGGUGAAAUCCCGAGGCUCAACCUCGGAACUGCCUUUGCUACUGGCAAUCUUGAGUCCGGGAGAGGUGGAGUGGAACUCCGUAGUGUAGAGGUGAAAUUCGUAGAUAUUAGAAGAACACCAGUGGCGAAGGCGGCUCACUGGCCCGGUACUGACGCUGAGGUGCGAAAGCGUGGGGAGCAAACAGG